UUAUACAAACAUUUUAUUAGAUUCACUUGCACAAAAAUAUUUGUCUGAAAAUUAAAGCCAAAAGAAAUAAAUGUCUUACGUAAUUUCUUAUUUCUAUUCCAGCACUGUAGACGUCAUGAGGAAGGCAGGAGGAAAUUAAAUGAUGCAACAGCAGCUUGUCUUCUGUACAAUUUGCAGGAAUCAUGUGACAACUGGGCAACCCACCAGGUGCUUGUCUCCCUCUAGUGGCACUGAGAUGUUACCAGGCGCAUUCACUCAGCACACCUGUGCGUCAUGAUGAUCGCACCUGGAGCUAAUUGGAUCACGUGUCCUGUGUGGAGUCCACAUAAGCUCGGCACGUGCUAGCAUGACGUUUGACACUGCAGCUGGAGGUAGGUGUCUCAGAGCUCUGUAGGCUAGCACUUUAAAGUUAGACUUUAAGAUCUGUGAUUUAUGGAGGAGCAAGGGAAUUAAACCUGUGCCAAAUGUAAGAAGUGAAUCUUGUGCUUUAGGGUAGCUUAAAGAAGUCCCCUUAUCAAGACUUGCCUUGUUCCAGCUUUUCAAACAUCUUUAUUUAUUGUAGGCCAUGUGCUUACCUGUCAUUUUGCUCAUGGACUGACUAUAGACUGUAUAAAAUAUGGACGUAGUAUCAGUGAUGUCACCCAUUUGUUUCUUAAGCGCCGUUUUGAGGCCAUUUAUCAGCGGCAGCCAUAUUGCUGCUGUUGAGCUAGUGUAAGGUAAAGAGGUGGGCUUUGAGCCUCCUUGCCAGCAGCUGCAAUGUUCCCGCCUGUCAAUCAAGU